UACGGAGGGAGCUAGCGUUGUUCGGAUAUACUGGGCGUAAAGCGCACGUAGGCGGCGCAGCAAGUCAGGGGUGAAAUCCCGGAGCUCAACUCCGGAACUGCCUUUGAAACUGCAGUGCUGGAAUUCUGGAGAGGCGAGUGGAAUUCCGAGUGUAGAGGUGAAAUUCGUAGAUAUUCGGAAGAACACCAGUGGCGAAGGCGACUCGCUGGACAGACAUUGACGCUGAGGUGCGAAAGCGUGGGGAGCAAACAGG
rnacentral:rRNA from 1 species